rnacentral:ribozyme from 1 species
AUUCAAGAGAAUUUUCAAGAGAACGAAAAAUACACCGCGGUGUUGUCCGUUUUUUUUUAAUUCACCAAAAAGUGUUUUUCCUUUUUUUCAAAUUUUAAUUUCUUG